rnacentral:tRNA from 1 species
GAGGGUAUAGCUCAAUGGGAGAACGUGUGUUUAACAUGCACAAGGUCCUGGGUUCAAUACCCAGUUCUUCCA